rnacentral:misc_RNA from 1 species
GAUGAAGAACGUAGCGAAAUGCGAUAAGUAAUGUGAAUUGCAGAAUCCAGUGAAUCAUCGAAUCUUUGAACGCACAUUGCGCCCGCCAGCAUUCUGGCGGGCAUGCCUGUUCGAGCGUCAUUUCAACCCUCGACCUACCCUUGGGGAGGUCGGCGUUGGGGACCGGCAGCACACCGCCGGCCCUGAAAUGGAGUGGCGGCCCGUCUGCGGCGACCUCUGCGUAGUAAUACAGCUCGCACCGGAACCCCGACGCGGCCACGCCGUAAAACACCCAACUUCUGAACGUUGACCUCGAAUCAGGUAGGACUACCCGCUGAACUUAAGCAUAUCAAUAAGCGGAGGA